CCGGCAGACAAACAGUAUAGACAGACAGGUAGACAGACCGGUAGACAGACCGGUAGAUAGACAGGUAUAGACAGGUAGAUAGACAGUAUAGACAGACCAGGACAGACAGGCAGACAGACCGGCAGACAGACCGGCAGACAGACCGGCAGACAGACCGGCAGACAGACCGGGAGACAGAACGGCAGACAGACCGGCAGACAGACCGGUAGACAGACCGGUAGACAGACCGGUAGAUAGACCGGUAGAUAGACAGACCGGUAGACAGACCGGUAGACAGACAGGUAGACAGACAGGCAGACAGACAGUAUAGACAGACAGGUAGAUAGACCGGUAGACAGACCGGUAGACAGACAGUAUCGGCAGACAGGCAGACAGACCGGUAGAUAGACAGGUAUAGACAGGUAGAUA